rnacentral:rRNA from 1 species
CCGCACGGGUGAGUAACACGUAUGCAAUCCACCUGUAACAGGGGGAUAACCCGGAGAAAUCCGGACUAAUACCCCAUAAUAUGGGCGCUCCGCAUGGAGAGCCCAUUAAAGAGAGCAAUUUUGGUUACAGACGAGCAUGCGCUCCAUUAGCCAGUUGGCGGGGUAACGGCCCACCAAAGCGACGAUGGAUAGGGGUUCUGAGAGGAAGGUCCCCCACAUUGGAACUGAGACACGGCCCAA